rnacentral:tRNA from 1 species
ACUAUUUUGGCAGAUUAGUGCAAUAAAUUUAGAAUUUAUUUAUGUGAAUUUAUCACAAAUAGUA